ensembl:lncRNA
UUGGUCGUCCUCUCGCCUCUGUUCCCUCCUCGGCCUGGGGUUACUGCGAAUCUGGCGCUGAAGACUGAAGCUGCUAACGUUAUAUUCGAAUGGGACAGUUAUAUUGCUUCAAUUGGUCUCCUACUUCAUUUGAUUCCACCAUCAUUACAAGGCUGCAAGGGAUCUGGAAAAAUGUCAUCCUGUCAAGCUGAAAAACAUCUUCAAAAAGGCACUAACAAGAACAGCUUGAUUGCAGAGAAGAGACCACACAGCCAUACACGCUCACUGAUGGGACAGUGAGGAACAUCAUUCAUGGAUGCUACACAACUCAAAUCUACACGUCAUAUUUGUUCAUGUCUAGGUAAAUUUGAUGAUUUUGUGUUUUAUUAAUUACUUUGUUUCUGUGCAACACUUAAUGAAUGUGACUGACUAAUUAACCUCUACACAUCUGGUAUAUGCUUUAAAGUUGCCACUUUGCCCAUUUGUUCAAUAAAUGUUGAAAU